GUUAAUAGCGCCAGAACUUGUGCGGGCCAUGGGAAAUCUGGCUGAGAAUGGGUGACAAAGAAAGGUAAGAUAUCUCAUCCCAAUUCAGCGGAUUUAGGACGACAAGUUGACGAGGUGAAGGUGUUCGAAGUUUUCGGCGGGGACCUUCCGGCAGCCAUCAACUGCCGUUAAGUUGGAUUCCAAACCAUUGGGGCGACCUGAUGAACAAAGAU
rnacentral:ncRNA from 1 species